UACAGAGGGUGCGAGCGUUAUCCGGAAUCAUUGGGUUUAAAGGGUCCGUAGGCGGGCCUGUAAGUCAGUGGUGAAAUCUCCCCGCUCAACGGGGAAACUGCCAUUGAUACUGCAGGUCUUGAAUUAUUGGGAAGUAACUAGAAUAUGUAGUGUAGCGGUGAAAUGCUUAGAUAUUACAUGGAAUACCGAUUGCGAAGGCAGGUUACUAUCAAUACAUUGACGCUGAUGGACGAAAGCGUGGGGAGCGAAC
rnacentral:rRNA from 1 species